AUGAAUCACAUCAUAAAGGAAGAAGACACAUUUUUCUCACCCACAGUUCUCCCAAUCAGAGCUGCAGAGGCAGUAUCCUUCAAAUACUAUCAUCUUGCUCAUCAGUUGGAUUGUAAGCAGAGUGAAGAUUGUGGUGUUACUGGCCCCAUCUGCUUGGGGGAAGAUCUGGCCACAUCAAGAGGUAGAAAUGUCCUCUAAUAAACAUAUGAUGUCUUCUAUUUGCACUGACCAAUUCUUUUUCCUGUGGCCAGGUCUCCAGUAGCAAAAUGAAAAAUUCCUGAAUGUUAUUAAAAUCAUUUGGAAAAUAAAGUUUCUCCUUUUUUUUCUCCUUUCUACCA
rnacentral:lncRNA from 1 species